rnacentral:rRNA from 1 species
AUGAAGCUAAGCAAGGAGGAGGGGGGUCUAGGUUUCCGGGACCUCCAUGACUUCAACAUGGCGUUGUUGGCACGGCAAGGUUGGCGGCUGCUGCAAGCGCCUGAGUCUCUAUGUGCAAGGGUUCUGCGUGCUAAAUAUUUCCCAUCUGGCAACUUACUUGAUGCUGAACAAAAAAGCGGGAUAAGCUAUGUAUGGCGUUCGAUACUCAAGGGCAUAAACCUGCUUAAACAGGGGCUCAUCUGGAGAGUUGGGGACAGCACCAAUGUAAGAAUAUGGGAAGACCCAUGGAUCCCAAGAGGUGAAACCAGGAGACCAGCAACCCAUAGAGGAAGUUGCCUGCUUACACGGGUCUGUGAACUACUUGAACCCACCAAUGGAGGGUGGGAUGCGGAUCUGGUGCGCCAAACCUUCAGCCGAGAGGAUGCAAAUGAGAUUCUGCAGAUUCCUAUCUCAGAAAACGGAGAGGACUUCCUAGCCUGGCAUUUUGAUAGUAAGGGAAUUUUCUCAGUCAAGUCA